UGGGGUAAACACAUUAGUUAUGGCUAUAGCUUCAGUUGGGAUCGAAAAUAAGUUGAAAUGAAAUGAAAUUUUGCCGGGUCUUGAAUGAAAUAAAGUAUGACUGUUUUCUGGACUGACCUAUCGCAAAGCGAGAGUGUGACUAAUAGCCGCCAAGAAAACUGCUUUGUCAAUCCUUAUCAAGCCUUAUCAACUAAGCAACCACUCAACAGGUGCAUACUUUGCAGACGGAAUCAGUGUUUUAUGAUAUGAUAAACAAAUUUGUGGGGAUGAUCAAUCGAGUUUACGCCAGAGCUGGGCUUUGUCGACUCCCAGGCCAACCUGUUUUAUUGAAUUGUUUCAUUACCUUCAAUUAGUCGAACAAAAUCUUGUUUGCUCUUUUAUUGCUGCACAUAAACGAAAUUGUUAGAAUAACAAAGUACUCGGCAGAUUGCCGCGAUCAUGAACGAGCAGCAGUGAAAAUACAUUCGGUCGGAAAACCCCAAUGA
rnacentral:sRNA from 1 species